rnacentral:rRNA from 1 species
UGGGGAAUUUUGGACAAUGGACGANCCCUUUGANNCAGCCAUGCCGCGUGCGGGAAGAAGGCCUUCGGGUUGUAAACCGCUUUUGUCAGGGGAAGAAAAGCGCUGGGCUAAUACCCCGGCGUCAUGACGGUACCUGAAGAAUAAGCACCGGNUAACUACGUGCCAGCAGCCGCGGUAAUACGUAGGGUGCAAGCGUUAAUCGGAAUUACUGGGCGUAAAGCGUGCGCAGGCGGNUUUGCAAGACAGAUGUGAAAUCCCCGGGCUCAACCUGGGAACUGCAUUUGUGACUGCAAGGCUAGAGUACGGUAGAGGGGAGUGGAAUUCCGCGUGUAGCAGUGAAAUGCNUNGAUAUGCGGAGGAACACCGAUGGCNAAGGCAGCUCCCUGGACCUGUACUGACGCUCAUGCCACGAAAGCGUGGGGAGCAAACAGGAUUAGAUACCCUGGUANNCCACGCCCUAAACGAUGUNCAACUGGUUUGUUGGGAGGGUUUCUUCUCAGUUAACGUAGCUAACGGCGUGAAGUUGACCGCCUGGGGAGUACGGUCGCAAAGGUUNGA